CGUACGUCUCCUGAUUCCAGCGCUCAGUCUCCUACACAUGGCGCGCGCGCUCACCCAGCUCUUCCCCUUCCAGCAGCUGAGCACGCCGUCCCUCCCUAUUUUAGCUCGCCUCUGUCCUCCAUGGUCCGGUCAGGGACACCCACGUCGAGCUCCAUCACACGCACGCUCAGCUCCAGCUCAGUCGAGCUCGUCCCUGCGAGCGCGUUCUCCUGCGUCCAGCCGGGCGCGCGAAGCUUCUCUGCUCACGGCGCUCCCUGUCUGCUCGGCCAUGGUGAAACCCUCCCUGCCAUGGACGCCGGAGUUCCUCUGCUCGUUCUCAUGGCCGCCGUCGAGCUUCCGGCGCACGCCCAUCUCCUCUGCUCUCCCGCGCGCGUCCUGGAACUCUCCAUCGCGUCGAUCUAUGCUUGUUCGUGGUCGCGCGUAGUCGUCCAGCUCAGCCUCUGCUCUGUUCCUGCUACUGCGCGCGUGCUCGUCGGUGUUCUCAGCUCGCCCGACCGGAGUUUUUCCUGCGCGCACCGUUUUCCCAGCUCGGAUUUCGCGAGCCACCGUUGUCCUAUCCGCGUCAGCACGUGACCGUGGUCGUGUUCAUCGAGUUCGCCAACGCUUUGUUAACGAUUCGAUUGUCGUCGCUGCUGCGUGCCUCGUUGUGUGCUCACGUUUGACGUCGAGCUGUUGAAACCGCUCUCCCUUGCUCGUGAUCUCGUUAUCGUUAGAGCCCUCUCUGGAUUCGUGUCCUCACCCGAGCCCGCGCUAACCUGCUCAACCACACCUCGCGAGCUCGCUCCAGACUCGAUCUCGUCGUCGUUCCGUACGUCAUCAAAAAUUUCAAGAGUCGAGUGAAGAUAAAGCUAGCAGCGUGAUAUUCACCAAGUGCUCGACAAAAAGCUUGAACAAGUCGUCGAUCGUUAUCCUCGUCUACGCCAAGAUCCGAGAAGAUUGAGUGCAGAAGAAAAUAAAUCAGUACGCGGUCGGAGAAUUCUCGAGUGGAUAAAGAUAAAGCGCGAUUCGACGCAACACUUACCCUAUUUUCAGUGAAAUGCUGAGCUAAAAGGCGUCGUCGAUUUCGUGGUUUCAAGUCAGAUUUAAUGAGGGUAAGUUGAUUCGUUAUUCUAGUCAACUAGGUAUAUAAAUAGAUUAAAUAAAAUUGUUGGUCGUGAUAAUUGUUAUUAAUUUAGCAUACGUAUAUUGUGAUGUUUGAUCUAGAUGAAUCGGUAAUUCAAAUUAAUUAAGAUAAACAGUUUAAAGAGUUAAUUAGAU